GACGAACGCUGGCGGCGUGCUUAACACAUGCAAGUCAGGGGGCGGGGUAACCCGUCACCGGCGAACGGGUGCGGAACACGUGAGCGACCUGCCCUGGGGUGGGGGAUAGCCGGCCCAACGGCCGGGUAAUACCGCAUACGGCGCCCGCUGGGAAGCGGGAGGCGAAACUCGCAAGAGGCGCAAGGAGGGGCUCGCGGCCUAUCAGCGAGUUGGUGCGGUAACGGCGCACCAAGGCGAUGCCGGGCAGCUGGUCUGAGAGGAUGGCCAGCCACAUUGGGACGGACCGACGUCCUAGACUCCUACGGGAGGCAGAAGUUGCGAAGAUUGCGCAAUGCGCGACAGCCUGACGCAGCGUCGCCGCGUGGAGGCUUCGGACCUUCGGGCUGUAAUCUCCUGUUGCCCGGGACGAAUGCCCCGCUUCGGCGGGGUUGACGGUACCGGGUGAGGAAGCCCCGGCUAACUCUGUG
rnacentral:rRNA from 1 species